GAUGAACGCUGGCGGCGUGCCUAAUACAUGCCAGUCGAGCGAACGGACGAGAAGCUUGCUUCUCUGAUGUUAGCGGCGGACGGGUGAGUAACACGUGGAUAACCUACCUAUAAGACUGGGAUAACUUCGGGAAACCGGAGCUAAUACCGGAUAAUAUUUUGAACCGCAUGGUUCAAAAGUGAAAGACGGUCUUGCUGUCACUUAUAGAUGGAUCCGCGCUGCAUUAGCUAGUUGGUAAGGUAACGGCUUACCAAGGCAACGAUGCAUAGCCGACCUGAGAGGGUGAUCGGCCACACUGGAACUGAGACACGGUCCAGACUCCUACGGGAGGCAGCAGUAGGGAAUCUUCCGCAAUGGGCGAAAGCCUGACGGAGCAACGCCGCGUGGGUGAUGAAGGUCUUCGGAUCGUAAAACUCUGUUAUUAGGGAAGAACAUAUGUGUAAGUAACUGUGCACAUCUUGACGGUACCUAAUCAGAAAGCCACGGCUAACUACGUG
rnacentral:rRNA from 1 species